UUUCUUGUUGAACAGGACUGUAUUCCUAACAUGCUACAUUUUAAAAGGAGUUCUCAGAGCUGCCGAUCUUACAGUAGAAGUUGAGUAGUAGCCUAUAUCUCCUACAUGA